AUGGUCAAGCUACAAAGAGCACAAGGGGAAUGCCUUGGCACCGAGAGCCGAAGAAGGACGUGACUAACUGCGAUAAGCUACGGGGAGCUGUAAGUGAGCGUUAUAUCCGUAGAUUUCCGAAUGGAGCAAUCCGAUUAGAGGAAAGUCUAAUCAUCAUAUACUGAAUACAUAGGUAUAUGAGGGGAACCGCCUGAACUGAAACAUCUAAGUAGGGCGAGGAAGAGAAAUCAACUGAGAUUCCGUAAGUAGUGGCGAGCGAACGCGGAAGAGGCCAAACCUAAUGUAGUAAUAUGUUAGGGGUUCGGACAGUAAAAUGAAUUGUCGAGAUUUAGCCGAAUGUCAUGGGAAGGGCAAUCAAAGAAGGUGAAAAUCCUGUAGGCGAAAAGUUAAGACAUCAGACUGUAUCCAGAGUACCGCCGGACACGUGAAACCCGGUGGGAAUACGGGGGGACCAUCCUCCAAGCCUAAAUACUACUCGGUGACCGAUAGAGAAGAAGUACUGUGAAGGAAAGGUGAAAAGCACCCCGGAAGGGGAGUGAAAGAGAACCUGAAACCUUGUGUUUACAAGCACCGAAAGUUCAUCAACGAACGAUCGGGUACCUUUUGUAGAAUGGUCCGGCGAGUGAAUGUAACUGGCAAGGUUAAGCACUUAAGGUGUGAAGCCGUAGCGAGAGCGAGUCUGAAAAGGGCGCAUGAAGUCAGUUGUAUUCGACCCGAAACCGGGUGACCUACCCAUGUCCAGGCUGAAGUGCAGGUAAAACUUCAUGGAGGGCCGAACCGACUCCCGUUGAAAUGGUAGCGGAUGAGGUGUGGG
rnacentral:rRNA from 1 species